UUUUCCACAUUCAUAGCUGAUGAAAAUUGAGAAAAGGAACAAAACCACCGACGAACCGAUGUGACAGCUAGAACAAACAAAUUCAAAUUUGUUGUCCACGACGCCAUGAUUAAAAAUAGCCGAACACUACCGCCACCUCUAUAACGGUUCGUGUUGGUUUGCUAGCUUGAUUCCAAACCCCCGUGUGUUCAUAUAGGAUGGGGUUCGCAUAUAUGCUGUUUCGACAGAAGGGUUCGCUCGCUUUGCUGGUCGACCAUUAAAUUGAGGAAGGACAGUUUUGAAACACCACUGUCACGUUGGUUCGUCGGUGACAAAACUCCACAACAAGUCACAAGAUUGAGAUUGAAUAGCUGUAAAAUUCGAAGAAUCGAGGAAGACAAAUACUACUGGUUGUAUGAGAAACGAUAUUCCUGGAGUUGUGAUCCCAGGAACGCCAUGCUGUCAUAAAAGAAGAAGAAGAAGAUUUGUAUGCUUUUUAAAACAGAAUUUUCACGAUGUUAUUUUGAGUAGAAAUAUUGUUAUUUUUGUAACAAUUUGGUACUAGAAUAAAAUCAAGGUAAGAAUUUAAAAUCCGCGUGAAACCAAUUCAAAGAAUAGAACCAAGAUGAAAAUAUUAAAUACAGUAACAGCGAUAAGUAAGUUCGACUAGUAAUGCUAUAUACAAAAUGUUAUUGUAAAUUAUAUGUAUAUAAUAAAAAGAAGGGAGAGAAAGUAGGAUUCAGUUAGCAUAUCAUUGAUGUUAUGAAAAUACAUGUCAUUCUUAUCCUAACAGCCGUCCUAGACACUACACUUACAAAACAGCUCAAUAUGAUAUGAUGAUUAUCACGAGCAAACUUUAGAUAUUAUGUUCAGUACUUUUACGUCGUAUAUGGUAGAAGCUGCAGUUUUGGCCAGCCCAUGGCAAUAUCAUCGACAUAGAUUUUAUUAAUGAUAGAUUUUAAUUUUUAUAAUAUGACUACAGCUGUUAAAACCUUCAAAUUUGAUCGAAAAAUGAUAGAAAAAAAAAUCAUUAAGAAACAAGCUCUUAAAAAAAGAAACCAAAGUUGAGAAUAUGGCCAAAACUAACAUUGUGCUUCUAUUUUGGCCAGUAGUAGUGUUACUUUAUAGACUAAAAUAAAGUAUUUGCUUGAUGUCUGCAUUUUUGUACAAAAUAUAGAUUGAAACCUUUAAUAUAAUACAGGGUGCGUGCGAUAUUUUUGCACUAAAUCAUAUCGUAAUCAUAAAAAACGUUUUAAAAAUAAUUCGACAAUAGAUCUAUACUAAAUGAUUUUUUCGCGAACAAUUGUGAUUAUUUCAAUGAUUUAGGAAGAAAAAAGUGGUGCUAAUAUCGAUAACCUUUUUUGAACGAUCCUGAGAACCGCUGCAAGUCCGUUUUAGUGUUGUUCUCUAUAUUUUGGUAAACAAUUGUGUUAUUUUAGGUAAAACUAGAAUAUUUUUUGUACGAGGAGCUCCAAUGGAAUCAUCGUUAUGUGUGGCAUUCAAAAAAUAUCCCAUAAAUUUGAAAAAGAGGUUUCUAGAUGACGAAAAUGCGAACAACUUGAGUAUACGUGUAGUGUCGGUAGCGGUUGUCUCAAUUGGUUAAGAAUAACACUACGGACCACCUGUUCCGGAGGUAAAAGUCCACUAAACAGAGAACCCCAAUCCAAGGUGUCAGGCGACCCGUGUUGAUGGAUGAAUGGUUGAGGGGGUUUAAAAUAUGCUCGAUCUUUAACGGAGCCCGUAACGUAGGUAGAUCGCCUUUAUGUGUUGCGUUACGGUUCAAGAUCUACCAAACCGAACUCUAGUGACAUCCGGUUUGUCAAGUUGGGAUAAUGUGUUUUGGUAAUAAGGAUUCAUGGCACAAAGUCCUUGUUACUGGUGACAGUUUCUUAAAUUGCAUGUAUUCUGCCUUGCUGAUAUUUAAAGAAUCGGACUUUGCCCACCCGAGACUACACUUGAUGUUAUGAAAACAAACAUGCUUUACGUGUCUAAUUGCGUACUAACCUAUCAAGGACUGUUAAGAUCUGGUAAUCCAAAGACUCACGUGCAUUCUUAUUGUAGAACACAUUCUCUAAUUUGACAGAGUUUUGCUACUAGCCUAAAGUCCCGGGGUUUUCUUUGUUGUCCUGGGACUAAACUAGAAGCAAGACAUGGAUGGGGCUAGAAUUCCGAUGCAUGGAUAAAUAUCAGUACCACCGUUUUGUUUUUCUCAGAAUUCAAAUAGACUGUGUUUGGUUAGGGGCGCUCUUUCACUGGGAUUUAAAUCUCUAUGAUAACGGAACCUUUUCAUCGCAAUCGAUUUCUUGCACCUCUGGGAUAACAAAACAGGAACUGUACAGAAAUUGAUGCUUCAUUGCCUCUCAAUGACAAUGGAGUAGUACGACAUGCACUAAAUACUAAGGAUUCAGGCAAUGCCACAAAAGAUCUAAAUACUGGUCGCAGUGGCUCACCCGAACAGGAAAAAAAUGUCGUUCCAUCUUAGAAUUACAAAAAUAAAAAUGGUUUGUGAGUAUCUUAAUAGAAAUUGAGGAGAAAGUGAUAGUUGAAGCUUACGCUGUAUCUUCUGAAUAUCAAAACGGAGAAGCUAUUUCAAUUUCCGUUUGGAAUCAGCAUAGACAACAAUUUUCAUUUUAUUGCGUAUCAAACCUGGCUAUUAAAUGUGUAUCAGACUCAUUGAGACACAAACAUACACAAUUGGCUAUUGCCUAAAAUUUAGUGCAAAUUUCACCAUGCUAGUUAAUAGGUUUCACGAGAUCAUAAUAAGUUGGUCUUCAAAUACUUAUGUUUUCAAAUUUUAUUUGUAUUCUCGGUUAGUGCAAAGUAUUUUAUAUGAGCCAUUUCUCGAAACAACAACAUUGAUGAUGAUAAAGUUCAAUAUCCCUAGGGCAUUAUCUCAUGUCAAACUUUCAUUCACAUUCCUUUUUUAUUUGGCUAGUAAACAGGACUACUGCAGCAUUUCCGAUCGUCCUUUUUGUUGAAACUGUUAUUAUUUCUUUUAAUAGAUCAUUGAAAGUGUAGUGCAUUGAAGCAGCAGAAUACAAUCUACUGAUUCUUGUUUAAAUUGAAAGUGAUAUACAAAAGUAACUGUAUUGUCAUCUACUGUAAUAUUGGUUUGUAUCUUUGACGGUUUUCAUAAAAAAAAAAAUGAUUUAACUUCUGCACGCAUUAUUGUUUCGUUUUUUUCUCUUAAUUAAUUCAAUGAAAAAGGAAUGAUUUGUGAAAUAAUUUCGAAAAAAAAUACUGAAAUAAUUGUGUAUUUUGAAGUCUUGUAUUCCGCCAAACUAUUGACCAAUUACAGUGAAUUUGUAUGUUUUAGAAAGCUAGAAAUUUCGUAAGGUUUGUCGAAAAUAUUUUGGUGACAACACAAUUUUUUUCCAACUUUCCAUUGUAAUCUCUCAAACGUUUACGACGACUUUUAAUUAAUUAAUGACAUUGUUUCAUAUUUGACUGGCAAAUGCUUUUGAAUGAGAAGGAUUCCAAUUCUCAUUUACAAAAUAAAUCAUUGCAAUAUGUUUCAUGUACCUGUCAAAAGAAUUUAACUAUUCAACUCACGACAGCAAAUUCUACAUAUUCACCCUGAUUAUACCCACCACUGCUCGUGAACUUCAGCAUAAUAUAAGAUGGCAAUUGUUUUUUUCAUCGAUUCCAAAACUGUUUGAAUGUUUGUUUCUAGACAUAUGUUUUAGCUAUAGAAUUAUCAUAUUAUUUAUGAAAUCCAUUUCAAAACUUAUAUGUUUACAAAUUAUAAAGAAAUCUUUUCAAAAUUCAAUCUUUUUUUCAAGAUUUGCCUAAGGAACAACGAAAUAAUUGUCUUUAAGCACACUUUUGUUUAACAUGGCAUAUACUAACGUUUACACAAUAAAUUUCAUCCAUUAGUAGUUUCGAAAUUAUUCUCUUCUAUGUUUUUCUUCUAUGAUCAGCCAUACUUUUCUUAUGCCACAGUAUUUUCGUCGGUUUUCCAUAUAUAGUGGAUGGCUGAUUGCUCUUUGUCACUUUCAAUGAAUCAAGGUGCGAACUUAUUUUUUUUUAAUAAUCUUUAUUAGUAUCUCAAUCAAUUUUUACAUUCUUCAACUUAAUCUAGGUGUUCUGUGUAUUAUAACACACUAUCAUCCUAAUUUUGUAAUAGUUAUUUAUGCAACAAGUUGCAAAAUGAUGAUUUUUUCAGCACGAGUUGUACGAGGCUUGCCGAGUUGGAUAAAUACGACGAGUGCUGAAAAAAUCGAGUUUUGCAACGCGUUGCAUACAAAGUUUUUUGUAAUUGCAAAAAUACCCGUAUAGUAUAAUCUCUCUAGCCACACAAACGUGUAUCAGCAGCAGCCACGUGCGAGCCUUUAUGCGCGACAGGACGUAGUGCAUAGUAUUUUCUUUGAUCAGGUAGGCUAUGGUAGGCUAACUGUCGCAAGUUUUCAAGCUAGGUUCAAAAGUAGGCUAGUUUUCAAAAGUAGGUUCAGCUUCUGUUUCUACGCCUGAUUGGCAGUUCAAAUCAGAAUGUGAGUCGUCCUGAUUCGGAUUCGAACUGCUCAGUGCAUGUAGAAGCAGCAACUGUAUCUACGGAAGUAGCGAUACUUAACAAAAAGUGUGUGCUGGCAAAAGUGCCGAAAAGUAGGCCGUUUUAACAUUGUUUCCGCGAGUGAAAAGUAGGGGAAUUCGCAACGCAAUUACAAAAAAUAAAUUUAAGCUAUUAUCAAUACUAAUUAAUGACAUAUUACAUUUCAUUUGCUGUAGCAGUUAAGAUUUUUUGCAGGCUUAACUUUUCACCUGCGUGCCAGAAAUACAUUUUUUUUAACUUAUCCUAACCCUAACCUAACUUAAACUAAUUAUACAAAGAACUAAUCGUAGCAAUAGAAGACUGCAACGAUUUUUGACGAAAGUUUGCAAUGAUUUUAGUUGACAUCUGUUCCAAUGUUUCAAUAUUAUAAAUUUGAUGCAACUCAUUAGUGCUAUACCAGAGAGGCAAUCAUUUUCAAAAUUUUAUUUUGAAUCCUCUGAAGAAGUUGCUUCUUUCUGGUAUUGCAACAGCUUGACCAUAUUGGGACAGCGUACAACAUGGUCGGUCUGAAAAUUUGUUUAUAAAUCAAAAAUUUGUUUUUGGGACAAAGUUUUGAUUUUUUAUUAAUAAGUGGGUAUAAACACUUAAUGUAUUUAUUGAAGUUUGAAUAUUUUCUAUGUGGUUUUUAAAAGUUAAGUUUUUAUCUUGUAAGAGCACUAGAUUCUUAACUUUUUCCGACCAAUUUAUUGGAGUUCCCCUAAUAGUGACAACAUGUCUACUUGAGGGUUUCAAAUAAAGAGCUCUUGGCUUAUGUGGGAAUAUGAUAAGUUGAGUUUUGGAAGCAUUUGGAGAAUUCUUCCAUUUUUGUAAAUAAGAAGAAAAAAUAUCUACUUUGCAAUCUACUACACUUUUUUGCAAUCUACUACAAAUGACACGCAAAUUUAGCCCCUUGGCUGAGAUACCUGUGUCAUCUGCAAAUAACGAUUUUUGACAUCCCUGUGACAAAUCAGGUAAGUCGGAGGUAAAAAUAUUGUAUAAGAUUAGUCCCAGUAUGCUGCCUUGUGGAACACCAGCUCUUACAGGUAAUCUAUCUGACUUGGAAUUUUGAUAGUUUACCUGAAGUGUUCGAUCUGAUAAAUAGUUUUGAAUAAUUUUAAUAAUAAAUAGUGGAAGAUUAAAAUGUUUGAAUUUUACGAUCAAGCUUUCGUGCCAAACACUACCGAAUACUUUUUCUAUGUCAAGAAGUGCUACGCCAGUGGAGUAACCUUCAGAUUCAUUGGAACGAAUGAGAUUCGUUACCCGUAUAAGUUUAUGAGUAGUCAAAUAUCCAUGUCGGAAUCCGAACUGCUCAUUGACAAAAAUGGAUUCAUCAAUAUGAAUCAUCAUUCAAAUUAAAAUACGCUUUUCAAAGAGUUUAAUGAUAGAUGACAGUAAGCUAAUUGGACGAUAAUUAGAAGCUUCAAGGCUUCAAAAUUGGAACAAUUUUAGCAUUUUUCCAUUUUCCAUAUGCUAACUGAAAACAUUUGUUAAAUAUAUUAACUAAAAAUGAUAAGCAACUUUCUGGAAGUUUUUUUUUUAUAAGAAUAUAGAAAAUUCCGUCAUCACCCGGAGCUUUCAUAUUCUUAAACUUCUUUAUAAUAGAUCUCACUUCGUCCAAAUCAGUGCCCAAUGAAUUGUCGAAAAUGUUCUCAUGAUUGAGAAUGUUUUCGAAUUCGCGGGCAACCUGAUGUUCUAUUAGACUAGUGAGACCUAUACUAAAAUUAUGCGCACUUUCAAACUAUUUGGCAAGUUUUUGUGCUUUUUCAGAAUUAGUUAAUAAUAUUUUGUUAUCCUCUUUCAGCGCAGGAAUAGGCUUCUGAGGGUUUUUCAAUUUUUUUGUCAAUUUCCAAAACGGCUUAGAGGCUUAGGGGUUUAAUUGAGAAACUUUAUUUGAAAAAUUAUUGUUUCUCAAUUCGAUGAAACGUUUUUUAUUUCCUUCUGGAGAUCCUGCCAGAUUACUUUCAAAGCAGGAUCUCGAGUUCGUUGAAAGUGUCUUCUUCUCACGUUUUAAAGACAGAUCAGAAGUUUCAGAUCGUCGUCAAUAAUAACUGAGUCGAAUUUGACUUCACACUUUGGUAUUGAUGCGCUUCUAGCUUCGACUAUAGUACUAGUUAAGGGUAUGCGGUAUACCGAAAAGUUUCGCCAAAUGCACCUCGAAACGAAAUUCCGCGGAAUUCUACGGAAUUCAACCAGGCGAAAUUUAUGAUUUUGAAUUUCGUUUCGUUUCGUCAAAUUCUAAAAAUUUCGCCUUCAAAAAGUAUAUUUUGACGAAAUUAAACGGAAUUCCGCGGAAUGUCUAAUAAAUUUCGAAAACAAGUUCAUUGUGUAAAUGCCUUUUUUGAAAGAGGUUAAUUUUUAGUGGAACUCUUGAAAGGGUUUUGCCAUUACAUCUGUAUGACCAGGGCUGGAUGUACGGGUGGGAUGGGGGUGGCCGGGGUUAUUCGGGCUCCGGGCCCCCACAUUUUAGGCCCCCCCUACAAAGACCUUUUUUGAUUAUUACACAUCAACUUUAUGUUUCAUAUUGCUCAAAUACUGUUUGAAAACAAUGAAAUUUUUGUUUGCUCAUCACCAAGGGACCUUCGCAUCCGCUCGGGCCUCGGGCAAACCUUGAUCCGGGCCUGUGUAUGACGAAACGCUAUUCACACGGAACUACAAAUCAACCCAAAUUUAAGUUGUUUUGACGCAAUCCCGGUCUUCCGUGGAAUUACUCAAAUUUGCGUUAAACAGCGAAAGUGGUGAGUGAGUAGCUCUCGUUUGAGAGCGGCAAAAAAAUUAACCCAAUGGUAAGUUAUUUUCACCCAACGGAGGCCU